CGCCCCUGCCUGCCACCGCUCCUCCGCCGUGCGCCGCCCCCGCCGUGCACUGCCACCACCCCUGCGGCUUUCCACCACCGGGAACACUCGACGCCGACGCCGCACCUUCCCCCAACUCCUCUCUCUCCUCCUCCUUUGCCGCACCGCUCUUCAUCACCCGGCCAACUCCGUCGAAACGGGCAGGCGGCGCUGGAGUUCGCCGGAACGGGCCGGCGGGCGGUAAGAGCCGCGGCGGCGGCGCGAAAACUGUCAGAUUCAGGCGCGGCAUCGACGGAUCUGGUGGCUGGUGUGGCAGCUUGCUAGAUGGCGGCGGCUGGAGCCCUACUCAUCCAGAGAAAAAGAGAGACAGGCCGUGAGGGAGAGAGGAAGAAAUGAGAAGGAGAAGGGGCACAGGGUGAGGUAGGCAGGUAGGGCGGCGUGCUCCUAUUGAGGCGGCAGCGUGCGGUUGCCGGCAAGGGUAGCACAUCUCGCUGGAGCACACGUUGUUCCUGGCCAGAGGCCUCGGAUCGACCGGCUGGGCUCGGCGCUGCUGAGCAACGACGGUGGCGGGGGGUCAAGGGGAUCGUUGAGGACGCCAGCAACAGCCUCUUCAAACUACGCGUAAUCACUGUACCAUUGGCUGCAUCGGUUAUUUGUAUGAGAUUCACCCUCUUUGUGUUGAGGAAAGAGCCGGAAGGAGAGUACAUGGACGAGGAGGGGAAGAAUGACUAGGCAGAUUGCCCACAACUCUGCACAGGUGCAGCCAAACAAAGCCUAGCUGGACAUCAUUUGUCAAGGUUUGCACACAACUACACACUGAAAAUUCUAGCUAGGUUGAUUCAGAUAUUGGUGCUACUGCCUAUCAUCCAUAGCAUCUCCUCUUUUUACCACCAGCCACCACUACCACAAUGUUCCUCGCACAAAUCAGGUUGUCUCACCGGCCUACAGAACUUGGAUAUUUGCUACGACAGUCUGUUGGUUGAUGCCCAUCGAGAGUUCAAGACUAAUCCACACUAGACAUUCUUGAUUCCUUAUUAUUUGCAUUAUUUUUAGAUCCAUUACCUUCUUGCAUAUCAUCAUCUAUGCAGCACAUGCCAACAAGCUCUGUCGACGUGGUGCGUAUAUAGUAAUCUAACAAGGCAGUACACAUGUAUGCAAGCAGAGAGAUAUAUGAGACCAUGAGGGCAUCCUAUAGACAAAAAGGACAUUCGAGGAAUUAAAAAAUUGAAUCGUCUCCACAGAACAAACUGCAAGCUUUGAAAUCAUUGAAGUGUUGACAAUUCUGUAAUCUCUUAACAUAGGCUGCCACCAUCAUGCUUCUCAGGUAGGCUAAUCCUUUUCUCCAUCAAGUUGUUCAUUGCGUUCACGACAGUGAGUAGCACAGAACCUAAACAAAUUCAUAAUAUUGUCUGUUGAUGUCCCCACCAUGAAGGCCCGGAGGCUCUGUUCGUAAUCACCUCUCGCCAUAUCCGGGGAGGAUUAUGGUCUAGGGCUCUAGGCAGAGCGGCGCAUGAUGCUGUAGUGUGGCUAUUGUCAAUGACACGGUCGUGAUGUUGUCCACUUUGUCCCGGUGGUUCGAAAGCAACGCAAUGACAUCAUGUUUCUUCUCCUCAGCGAGUUUAUUAUUUUUCAUAGACCUCAUGGAGCAGAGUACCGAGGGCUGAGGAGACAAGUGCUGGAGAGGGUGGCAUGCAUCAGGAUGAGGGAAGAAAGUGCUGGAGGAUGUAAACAUUUGGCGGAACAUGUAUAUAGUGGUUCUUUGUGGGGAAAAAUGUAUAGAGUGGUUGGUGUAUACGUCCUUUUUGUGAUAAUAAUAAAUGAAGUGCAUUCUGGUGCUAUGGUUGUGACUAAAGAUGUUAGCGGCAGAAGCAAUUGCUACGUAAGUGUGAAUAA